rnacentral:rRNA from 1 species
GAAUCUGGCUUCAGGUCGGGGACAACGGUUGGAAACGACUGCUAAUACCGGAUAUGCCGAGAGGUGAAAGAUUAAUUGCCUGGAGAUGAGCUCGCGUCUGAUUAGCUAGUUGGUGGGGUAAGAGCCUACCAAGGCGACGAUCAGUAGCUGGUCUGAGAGGAUGAUCAGCCACACUGGGACUGAGACACGGCCCAGACUCCUACGGGAGGCAGCAGUGGGGAAUUUUCCGCAAUGGGCGAAAGCCUGACGGAGCAAUACCGCGUGAGGGAGGAAGGCUCUUGGGUCGUAAACCUCUUUUCUCAGGGAAGAAGAAAGUGACGGUACCUGAGGAAUAAGCAUCGGCUAACUCCGUGCCAGCAGCCGCGGUAAUACGGAGGAUGCAAGCGUUAUCCGGAAUGAUU